GACGAACGCUGGCGGCGUGCUUAACACAUGCAAGUCGAACGAAGUGGCAAACGUGUGAGUAACGCGUAAUCAACCUCCCCUUCAGAGGGGGACAACAGUUGAAAACGACUGCUAAUACCGCAUAUUGAAGGAGUGGAUUGCGUGUGUUUACCUAGUUGGCGGGGUAACGGCCCACCAAGGCGAUGAUCAGGGGACGGUAUGAGAGUAUGAACGGCCACAUUGGGACUGAGAAACGGACCAGACUGCUACGGGAGGAAGCAGUGGUGAAGCUGCAGGAAUGGACGAAAGGCGGACGGAGCAACGCCGCGGGAGGGAUGACGGACUUCGGGUUGUAAAGCUAGGUUAAUCGGGACGCGGUACCGGAAUAGAAAGCAACGGCUAACUACGUGCCAGCAGCCGCGGUAAUUC
rnacentral:rRNA from 1 species